UACGGAGGGAGCUAGCGUUGUUCGGAAUUACUGGGCGUAAAGCGCACGUAGGCGGCUUUGUAAGUUAGAGGUGAAAGCCUGGGGCUCAACCCCAGAAUUGCCUUUAAGACUGCAUCGCUUGAAUCCAGGAGAAGUGAGUGGAAUUCCGAGUGUAGAGGUGAAAUUCGUAGAUAUUCGGAAGAAACACCAGUGGCGAAGGCGACUUACUGGACACGUAUUGACGCUGAGGUGCGAAAGCGUGGGGAGCAAACAGG
rnacentral:rRNA from 1 species